ensembl:lncRNA
CUCCUGUCUGAACCUCUCAGGAAACGGGCGACCUGUGGAUCGGCUGAACUGUUUGUGCCACCUGGAGCCAGAGAGGGCCGUUCCCAAAGUUAGCAGAGCCAGGCAGGCAGAAACAGAGAAAGCCACGGAACUGGAGCCUCAUUAGGAAAAAGCCCAAUCCCAGCUCAUCACGUCUCACAGCAAUGCAGUAAAUAGCUACGGAGAGGAGUGUGCGACAGAAGAGUUUGUGAACUUUCCCACCUUAGAAAGAGAGAGGGAAAUGUUUGAAGAUACCGAAUGUUUCAAAGUGGAGGAAGGAGCUGGCGGCCCAGAGAGGCUAAGACAGGCGACUGGCAGCCAACACCUGGUCGGUCACAGCUAGCCACGAGGGAAUGGGCAAGCUGAGUCAUUUAACUGGGGAUUCUGUCCAGGCGAAGUCAUGCUAGAGUCACCCCAAAAGUGGUGACAAGAGAGUGCCUCAGAAUAUCCUGACGGGGUCAAUGGUUACUCCCAAGAAAAGAGCAGUUUUCACCCUUUUGGCUUGCUGUACAGACUGCUGCCACGCCGGCUGGCUAGGUCGCUCUGUGCUCCCGGCUCCUAGCCAACCCGCUGCACCACACAAGCGCAUUCCCGCUGCAGCUGAGCUCCUCAGAAUCAUCCGCCCAGCUUGGAGACAGUUUCUAGCUGCCUAGAGUCGAGUAGGCCUCAGCUUUCAGCAGCAGCUUCCCCUGGCUGCUGCUGCAGGAAAGCCGAAUCUCUUUGAGUGGUUGCAGCCGUAAAGCUGUAUACUCUUUAAGAUAAGCGCAACCGCUUUUGUGACCUCUCUCCACUGCUGCCACUGACCACUGCCAAACGCAGCACUGAGUAGCUGAACGCCUGGGCCACCUGCUGAUCAAAGAUAGUUACUGCAUCUGGAGCAGAAUUCAGGUAAAAUUAUGGUGGGAUAUUUAUCAUUUGCUAAAAUUGGCGAUAUUUUUGCUUAUUACGUGAAUUCAAUGUUUGAAGAGGAUGCUAAUUUGCCAAUUACUGGCCUAUAUGCCGUAAUGGCAGAUAGCUUGCUGGUACAAAUAAUAUUACUAGCCAGAGGACUCAGGAAUAGGGAUAAGGAUAACCUCACCACAUACUUACAGGAAAUAACAGCUUUACACAAUGAGGUUUUGGAGAACAGAUUAGGUCAGACCACAAUUGUGCAGCAAGUGGAACAGAAAUUGGAUGAUAAGCUUGGCUCUGUGUCCAAUACCCUAAAGACAGAGGUGUCUGUUACCCAAGAUGAGAUACAGCGUAUUUAUGAUAAGAUAAACACAGAGAGAUCCUCCAUGUCUGAGGCCUUAGAGGCUAGGCUGUCAGAAGACCAUGACGAGCAAAAGAAUAUCUGUAGCCAGCUAGAAACUCAGAUAGGCAAUGUUACCCAGAAACUAGAUGCAAAGGUGCAAGAUACCCAGGAUAGGGUUGAAGAAUUGGACGAUGUCAUUCAAUCAAUUAUUGAAACAUCUAAGGUAGCAGAUCACAAAUUUGAGUCUAGAUUCAAAUGUUUGGAAGAUAAUUUACAGUACAGGGCUGACAGAUUACAUAGGUCCAUACGGUCGAUUGCUGAGGACUCAAAAUCAGCAAAUCAUGACUUGGAAUCUAGACUCCAAUACCUAGAAGGCAGUUUCCAUACCAUCCAGAUGCUGCCUAAGGAUGACCUAUUAAAGACCUAGAAAACGUGUAGAGGAGCAGUUAGAGCAAUUUACAGAUUCACUAACAUGCUUGGAAUCUUUUAUAAUUAAGGAGAUUGAAACUUUUCAUAAGGAUAUCAUUAGUAGGCUUAAAGAUCAUUGGGAUGCCUAGGAGGCAGAAUCACUCCAAUCCCAGGCACCUACUCCACCCAGGUAUCAUGACUAUUCCUCUAAGGUUGUUACUCACACACCAUUAGUGUACCCAGCUACCAUGGUAGAAAAGCCAGCUUCUAAGAAAAACCCUCAUGGAUGGAUGGCUUAUGAAUGUCAACCUAUACAGCUGAAGGAUCUUAAGAAUAUUAAAGAAUCAGUUGUCUCAUAUGGUCUCCAUAGCCCAUACGUAAAACAGCUAUUACAUUCAUGGGCAACCUUUAACAGGGUGACACCCACAGAUUGGGAACGAUUGGUAGCAGCUGUACUUGAGAAUUCAUGCCAAAUCCAGUGGAAGACAUUGGUGAGGGAAGAGGAGAAGCUCCUUGAGUGUCAGGGCAUAAAGGAAGGUUUUGAAGCCCCUCUAGAUAAGCUUCUUGGUCAGGGUAUUUAUGCUAACCCAGAGGCUCAGGCUGAAUAUGAUGAUGAUAUACUGUCUCUGUGCAGGAAAGCAGCAUUAAUGCCUUGGAUAAGGUUCGUGAGCCAGGAGAACGCCUAGAAGCUUAUACCAGAAUAGAACAGGGACCUACAGAACAGUUCCAGGACUUCUUACAAAGGUUAACUAGGGCAGUAGAAUUACAGGUAACAAAUCCAGAAACAAGACAAUCAAUUACAUAUACAAUAGCUUAUGAGAAUGCAAACCCAAUAUGCAAAAGAAUACUUUUGCCUUUAAAGAUCAGAUCAGCUCCGCUAGAAGAAUGGGUUUUGUAUGCAGCCAACAUUGACUAUCAUGUGCAAGACACUGGAGCUUGGGGAGGAGAAAAGGUAGCUAUAACCAUCAGACAAAAGGAACAUGCCAUAUGGUAAACCUUACAGCUGUCUCUCAGAGAACUCUAUUUCUCUUUAUUUUUCUAGUCCCUAUUCAAUUAAACCAUUGCUGGAUUUAGAGGUGGAUUUAGCUUUCCUCCUCUAAAAUCCAAGCACGUUAUUUAACUAAACUGUAGAGUUUCUGUAUUGUAUUAAGAAACCAAUUGAUGUAAUAUAGAAUAAAAGAAGAAUUUGGGGACUGUCUUUGUCUUUUCUUGGAUCUUUCUUUCAAGGUGUACACCCUCUCAUAAUCGUUAUUCUCCCAUGGUUGCCUUUCCCAUUAUACACAAGCAAACAUUUCUCUGCUAACUGUUUAUGUUUGAGUCCCACACAGCCAAUGAAGACCUGCCUGACAGCAAUCCCUGGACACCCUGGAAAGAAAAUGGGCCACACCUCCUCGACUGCACUGGAUCCAACUUGCUCCAUUUCAACUGACACUCACACCAGAGCUUCGGGUACUGACUUCAAUCAAGUUGAGGAUUUCAAGCGAGAUCUUCUAUCAAGAGAAUCCCAUCUAACAUGGACUGGAUACAAUCCAUUCAAGACUUUCACUAUACUAAUAUUUUCUUCCUACAGGACCCCACAUGACUAUCAUCAUCUCAUUUCAGCAGGAAGUAACUUGGAGGAUGCUAUGCCCCCUUUCCCCAUUGUUGUCACUUAGGAUAGUGUAUAUACCUAGUUAGGAUAGCUUCCUAUUGUUUAUGGUUGGGAUUGGAAGGAGGUGUUCAGGCUUGGACACUUCUUUCAGAUGACUUUAGGGUUUAGUUAAAAUAGUUAGGAUGUGACAUAAGCAGAUUGUUGUAUCUUCUUAUAUUUCACAUUUAUGAUUGUUAAUUUUGGAUGCUUUACACUGUUAAGUUUUAAUCCUCUUUUAGACUAAAAGGGGAAUUGUAGGGGAACCUGUAGCCAUGCCUGCUUAGGGGCUGGCUACAGGUCUGCCUGACCACACCUUCGAGGUCAAGGUGAUGUAGAGUAAGAGUUUCAAUUGGCUGGGUUUCGCUUUCAGUUUUCACCCUUUUGGCUUGCUGUACAGACUGCUGCCAUGCCAGCUGGCUAGGUCGCUCUGUAAGUAAGGCUUUUCCCUAUUAAAUACCC